rnacentral:lncRNA from 1 species
CGACAGCUGGCUAUCUGAUGACUCAUCAGUCACCGUGGGCGUCUCCGGAUGGAACCCUGAACAUUUAUUCAGAGGGUGCUUUUGCCAGUUUCUGAACGACUCCUAGUAAGUCCUGCCUUUUGGGGAUUGUUUUAACCCCAUGGAGAUUGGGGGUUUGAAGACUCAGUGGGUUCCUGUCUGAAGGCCUCUGGGGGCUUAAAAAGUCCAGUGGGGCUUUGGGGAACUGGCUCCAGUUGCGGUGGCUGAUUAGUGUUUUCGUAGCGUCUCUUCCAGUUCACCGCAGACCUGCUGUUCCGUGGAGUCUGGUGUUGCAAAGCUUGUUGCAAAGCUUGUGCUGAGGAACUGCGAGGGGUCUCUGGGAAUCUCUCUCAGGUUGCCGGGACCAGAGAGCCAUGUGUCUGGCUAAUGUGACCAUCCCUCAACAAGGGUACUGCUCACUGGAUUUCUCUACACAGACUCCCCUCCUGAGGAACUGACUAGGCAUGAAAGAUCUCCCCCAAGAAUUGUUUAGUGACAGCUUAAGCUAGGCUAGCCUCUCUGCCUCACUAAGCUCAGCUGAGGUCAGAGUGGUGGGGUGUGACGCCCGCAACUCCGGGCAGUUAACUCACACAAAGGGAAAACUCUCUCCCCACCUUGCCUACCUGCCUCCCUGCCUGUGGGCAAUUUUGCCAAUGUUUUCCAUUAGUCACAAAGGAGAGGGGCAGGUGGGGGCAGGGUGGUCAGUGGGGACAAUCAUUACACAGGAAGAAAACCAAAACCAUAUUACUAUCUAAGGCACUGUGCUAAGUGCUGGCAUUAGGGUUGCAUUUGGUGAAAAUCCACAUAUAACACAGAAAAAUCUAUGAACCAUCUAGAAAUCCUAACUUCUUGACCCUUGAACUCCUUCUUUAAGAAGAUCACUUGUUCAUGGAGGGCUUCCCUGACCCCUGGGCAGGCUCCUUCCCCAUUCUCUUGGCUGCUUCUGCCAGCACUUGGUGUCCUUUGCCUGAGGCUCUCUUUGGCUGCGUGAGUGGGCAGCCCUCCCUAACACCCUCAACUCUGACUGUUAGGAUUCCGUAAGUAAAUGCUCCAGCCUCCUCAUCCUUCAGGAGGGAUGAUCUGAGGUGUGUUCCACACUGUCAACCAGGGGUAUCCUGCAGGACCCAGCCCCAUUUGCCCCAACAAAUGCGGACAAAUGGGUGGGAGCCUACUUAUCAAUACGGCCUCUGACUGCCCCCCUGGCUCUCUCUCCAUGUCCUCAUUGCCCUACUGAUGCUUCCUGGAAUCACCUCCCAAAGAAACUGCUUGCACACAAAACCUUGUAUGCAAGACAUUUGCAAUCUAAAUUAAGUCUCCCUGUUCUUUCUCAGGGCACUCCCCACCCCCAGCUUAAUAGCACUCAUCAUGAUAUGUAAUUAUGCAUUUGUUUGUGUAUCUAUUUGUUUAAUGAGGGCAGAGACAAUGUCUAUUUUGUUCACCACUAAAUCCCUGCACAUCACUCAACCCAGAGCUUAACAUGUGGUAGAUGCUCAACGUAAAUUCUGUUGAAGGAAUGAAUGUAACAUCAUUAGAGCUUUCUAAUCUUUCACCCUUUGGGGUGGUUCAAAAACAUGACCCCAAAGUUUCCUGACACUCCUUCCAAUGAGAAGCGGGGUCCUUCUCUCCUUGAAUCUGGAUACGCUGGUGACAGCUUCAACUAAGAGAAUGAAAGGGCUAGGUCAUAAAAGGCCACACAGCUUCUGCCCUGAAGCCCUGAAUAGCUGUCAUGUAAGAACUCUGACUACCCUCAGCCGGCCAUGCUGAGAGGAGGCCCAAUUAAUAUGAAGGGACAACACAUAGGUGCAGAGAUCCAUAGUCCCAACUGAGCCCAGUCUCCAAGUCAUUUCAGCCUAAGUACCAGAUGUGUGAAUGAAGAAGCUUCUGGAUGAUUCCAGCCCCCAGCUCUUUUCAAGUCUUCUCAACUGAGACCCCAGACAUUGUGGAGCAGAGAGAUCCACAAUGCUUUGGCCCGUCCAAAUUCCUGACUUAUGGAAACUUCGAGCAUAAUAAAACCGUUGUUAAGCUGCUAAAUUUUGGAGUAAUUUGUUAUGCAGAAAUAAUUGGAAGACCUUGAUUGUGAGUUUAUUAAUUCUGCAUUUAUUUGAAAGUCAUUUAUCAAGUUCCUACUAUGUGCCAGGUGAUGGUUACACAGUAGCAAACAAGGGAAAGAUCCCUACCUUCCGGGAACUUACAAUCUAGGGGCUGCUGUUGUAACUGUAUCUUGCAAAAGCCUACAUGUUGCUUUUUAACAAUAAUGAGUAGGUUUUUCUGAAACCACUUCCAGAUGGUGUGGGGGGAGGGGUGCUUCCGGAGUGAGUUGCUAAGGGAAGCUCCAGGGGUAGGUGGAUUAGAUAACACAGACCCAGGGAGCUCUAUUAUUUGCUGGCUGUCAACCACCACUGUCCUGCAAAUCAUCCACAGACUAGCUGCACCCCCA